AUUGCCCUAGUACGGCGAGUGAAGCGGCAACAGCUCAAAUUUGAAAUCUGGCUUCGGCCCGAGUUGUAAUUUGCAGAGGAAGCUUUAGGCGCGGCACCUUCUGAGUCCCCUGGAACGGGGCGCCAUAGAGGGUGAGAGCCCCGUAUAGUUGGAUGCCUAGCCUGUGUAAAGCUCCUUCGACGAGUCGAGUAGUUUGGGAAUGCUGCUCAAAAUGGGAGGUAAAUUUCUUCUAAAGCUAAAUACCGGCCAGAGACCGAUAGCGCACAAGUAGAGUGAUCGAAAGAUGAAAAGCACUUUGAAAAGAGGGUUAAAUAGCACGUGAAAUUGUUGAAAGGGAAGCGCUUGUGACCAGACUUGCGCCGGGCAGAUCAUCCGGUGUUCUCACCGGUGCACUCUGCCCGGCUCAGGCCAGCAUCGGUUCUCGCGGGGGGAUAAAGGCCCUGGGAACGUAGCUCCUCCGGGAGUGUUAUAGCCCGGGGCGUAAUGCCUUCGCGGGGACCGAGGUUCGCGCAUCUGCAAGGAUGCUGGCGUAAUGGUCAUCAGCGACCCGUCUUGAAACACGGACCAAGGAGUCAAGGUUUUGCGCGAGUGUUUGGGUGUAAAACCCGCACGCGUAAUGAAAGUGAACGUAGGUGAGAGCUUCGGCGCAUCAUCGACCGAUCCUGAUGUUUUCGGAUGGAUUUGAGUAGGAGCGUUAAGCCUUGGACCCGAAAGAUGGUGAACUAUGCUUGGAUAGGGUGAAGCCAGAGGAAACUCUGGUGGAGGCUCGCAGCGGUUCUGACGUGCAAAUCGAUCGUCAAAUCUGAGCAUGGGGGCGAAAGAC
rnacentral:rRNA from 1 species